rnacentral:rRNA from 1 species
AUGGAGAUGAAGGAGAGACAGCGGUGGCGGCCUGAGGAAGACGCCAUCCUCCGCUCCUACGUCCGGCAGUAUGGCCCCCGCGAGUGGAACCUGGUGGCGCAGCGCAUGAACGUGCCCCUCGACCGCGACGCCAAGUCCUGCCUCGAGCGCUGGAAGAACUACCUCCGCCCCGGCAUCAAGAAGGGCUCCCUCACCGACGACGAGCAGCGCCUCGUCAUCCGCCUCCAGGCCAAGCACGGCAACAAGUGGAAGAAGAUCGCCGCCGAGGUGCCCGGCCGCACGGCGAAGCGCCUCGGCAAGUGGUGGGAGGUGUUCAAGGAGAAGCAGCAGCGGGAGAUCAGGGACAGCCGGAGGCCGCCCCCCGAGCCCAGCCCCGACGAGAGGGGCAGGUACGAGUGGCUGCUCGAGAACUUCGCCGAGAAGCUCGUCAAGGAGAGGCAGCAGGUGGGACACCACCACCACCUCAUGGCGGCUCCCAUGCUCCCGCCCUGGAUGUCGUCCACCGCCGCCAACGGCGCGCCCGUCUCUCCGGCGCCGCCGUCGCCGUCCGUGACGCUCAGCCUCGCCUCCGCCGUCGUCCCGCCCCCGACCGCCGCGCCGUGGAUGCAGCAGCAGCAGCAGGCGCCGGGCAUGGUGGCGGAUGCUCCUCAGGCAGCGCUGGCAGAGCUGGCCGAGUGCUGCCGGGAGCUGGACGAGGGGCACCGCGCGUGGGCCGCGCACCGGAAAGAGGCCUCGUGGAGGCUGAAGCGCGUGGAGCUGCAGCUGGAGUCGGAGCGCGCGUGCCGGCGGCGCGAGGCCGCGGAGGAGUUCGAGGCCAAGAUGCGAGCGCUGUGGGAGGAGCAGGCGGCCGCCGUGGAGCGCCUCGAGGCGGAGUACCGGGAGAAGGUGGCCGGGCUCCGGCGUGAUGCCGAGCUCAAGGAGCAGAAGAUGGCGGAGCAGUGGGCCGCCAAGCACGCCCGCCUCACCAAGUUCCUCGAGCAGGUCGGCUCGUCGUGCCGCCGCUGGCCGCCCGGCGAGAUGAACGGCCGCUGA